GGCGCUCGGCGGAGCCGGGCCGCGAGGGACGAUGUUUAACUGCUGCAAUACAAGCCCACUCCGUGUGAGCUGUCCAAGUCUGUCUGCUCAGUGGAAAACAGAACUGCUGUCCUUAUCUCACCACAGUGUCUGUGGGAAGGAAGACUUAAGGGAUGAGAUUACCUGUGCCAUUUGUCAAGGGCAUGCUCUACAUCCCUGCCAGGUCCACACUGAGGAAGAGCCCUCCCUGAGAGGUGCAUGGGCCACAGGAGCAGAGAGAGGAGCAAGAGGCAUGGCCGAGCUGCCUGCAGCCAUGAGGCCUACACUGUUCAAACCAGAGUGACUUGUGUUCUGGAUGCAUCCUACAGUAGAUGGUAAUGAUAAGUGGGCAAGCAAAUCUAUUUCCAGACUCCCUUCAUGCUCCAAAAUCCAAAAAUAAAAUUAACAAUUGCUUUACUAAAUUGUUUUGAACACCUAUUAUGAUUCUCAAUAAAGGCGUCGUAAAUGGGAUGGAAACAGCAAAUUGGAUCAUUGGAAAAACUGCAGAGAGACCAUCUGGACCUGGAGCUUUAAUGGAUUGUAAAGAAUUUACAUUUCACACUCUCACAGUUUACAUUUUUUGAGUUGAUAAAGACAUUUGGAUAAUUUUAUUUUUUUGGAUGUUUUACAUAAA